UAGCUCAGUCAGUAGAGCAUGAGACUCUUAAUCUCAGGUUCAUGGGUUCAAGGCCCAC
rnacentral:tRNA from 1 species